CGCGUAGGCGGCCUUCUAAGUCGAACGUGAAAUCCCUGGGCUCAACCCAGGAACUGCGUCCGAUACUGGAAGGCUUGAAUCCGGGAGAGGGAUGCGGAAUUCCAGGUGUAGCGGUGAAAUGCGUAGAUAUCUGGAGGAACACCGGUGGCGAAGGCGGCAUCCUGGACCGGUAUUGACGCUGAGGCGCGAAAGCCAGGGGAAGCAAACG
rnacentral:rRNA from 1 species